rnacentral:rRNA from 1 species
CCUACGGGACGCAGCAGUGAGGAAUAUUGGUCAAUGGACGAGAGUCUGAACCAGCCAAGUAGCGUGAAGGAUGACUGCCCUAUGGGUUGUAAACUUCUUUUAUAUGGGAAUAAAAUGUUCCACGUGUGGGAUUUUGUAUGUACCAUAUGAAUAAGGAUCGGCUAACUCCGUGCCAGCAGCCGCGGUAAUAAGGAGGAUCCGAGCGUUAUCCGGAUUUAUUGGGUUUAAAGGGAGCGUAGGUGGAUUGUUAAGUCAGUUGUGAAAGUUUGCGGCUCAACCGUAAAAUUGCAGUUGAAACUGGCAGUCUUGAGUACAGUAGAGGUGGGCGGAAUUCGUGGUGUAGCGGUGAAAUGCUUAGAUAUCACGAAGAACUCCGAUUGCGAAGGCAGUUCACUGGACUGCAACUGACACUGAGGCUCGAAAGUGUGGGUAUCAAACAGGAUUAGAUACCCUUGUAGUC